rnacentral:rRNA from 1 species
AGUGAACGCUGGCGGCGUGCCUAAUACAUGCAAGUCGAACGAAGUGGCGCACGGGUGAGUAAUAUAUAGUUAAUAUGCCCUACACAGAGGAACAACCGUUGGAAACGACUGCUAAUACCCCAUAGUGUAGGAUGAGAAUCUAGCGUAUCAGCGAGUUGGUAAGGUAAUGGCUUACCAAGGCUAUGACGCGUAACUGGUCUGAGAGGAUGAUCAGUGACAUGAGAACUGAGACACGGUCCAAAGGCCUACGUGGGGCAACAGUGGGAAAUAUUGCACAGUGGUGGAAACCCUGAUGCAGCAACGCCGCGGGUGGGAUGUCGGCCUUCUGGUGGUAAACCGCUUUAAGCCAUGACGCGGUAGUGGCAGAAGAAGCACCGGCUAACUACGUGCCAGCAGCCGCGGUAAUUC